AUUGAACGCUGGCGGCAUGCCUUACACAUGCAAGUCGAACGGUAACGGGUCUUCGGAUGCUGACGAGUGGCGAACGGGUGAGUAAUACAUCGGAACGUGCCCGAUCAUGGGGGAUAACGGAGCGAAAGCUUUGCUAAUACCGCAUACGAUCUACGGAUGAAAGCAGGGGACCGCAAGGCCUUGCGCGGACGGAGCGGCCG
rnacentral:rRNA from 1 species